GACGAACGCUGGCGGCGUGCCUAAUACAUGCAAGUCGAACGCAGUGGGGACGGGGGAGUAACACGUGGGUAACCUCCCAUCAGAGGAGAUAACACUUGGAAACAGGUGCUAAACCGUUACUGUUGGAUGGACCCGCGGUGCAUUAGCUAGUUGGUGAGCUAACGGCUUAACAAGGCCACGAUGCAUAGCCCACCUGAGAGGGGGAUGUGCCACACUGGUACUGAGACCCGGCCCAGACUCAUACGGUAUGCAGCAGUAGGGAAUCUUCGGCAAUGGACGAAAGUCUGACCGAGCAACGCCGCGUGAGUGAAGAAUGUUUUCGGAUCGUAAAACUCUGUAGUUAGAGAAGCGGUAUCUAACCAGAAAGCCACGGCUAACUACGUGCCAGCAGCCGCGGUAAUUC
rnacentral:rRNA from 1 species